AUUUGUCUGGUUAAUUCCGAUAACGAACGAGACCUUAACCUGCUAACUAGAUUUUUGCAUUUUAUGCAUUUAUCUUCUUAGAGGGACUAUGUAAAUCAAUUACAUGGAAGUUUGAGGCAAUAACAGGUCAGUGAUGCCCUUAUAUGUCCUGGGCUGCACGCUGUGCUACACUGAUGCAUACAACAAGUGCCUAACCAGACAUGGUAUGGCAAUCUCGAAUAUGCAUCGUGAUGGGGAUAGAUCUUUGCAAUUAUAGAUCUUGAACGAGGAAUUCCUAGUAAGUGCAAGUCAUCAUCUUGCAUUGAUUAUGUCCCUGCCCUUUGUACACACCGCCCGUCGCUCCUACCGAUACCGGGUGAUCCGGUGAACCUUUUGGAUCUGUAUGGGGAAGAUAAGUAAACCAUAUCACCUAGAGGAAGGAGAAGUCGUAACAAGGUUUCCGUAGGUGAACCUGCRGAAGGAUCA
rnacentral:rRNA from 1 species